rnacentral:rRNA from 1 species
UACGGGGGGGGCAAGCGUUGUUCGGAAUUACUGGGCGUAAAGGGCCAGUAGGCGGCCAACUAAGUCCGACGUGAAAUCCCCGGGCUCAACCUGGGAACUGCAUCCGAAACUGCCUUGCUAGAGUAUGGGAGAGGGAAGUGGAAUUUCCGGUGUAGCGGUGAAAUGCGUAGAUAUCGGAAGGAACAUCAGUGGCGAAGGCGACUUCCUGGACCAAUACUGACGCUCAGGUGCGAAAGCGUGGGGAGCAAACAGG